GAUAAGAACGUAGCGAAAUGCGAUAAGUAAUGUGAAUUGCAGAAUUCAGUGAAUCAUCGAAUCUUUGAACGCACAUUGCGCCCCCUGGUAUUCCGGGGGGCAUGCCUGUCCGAGCGUCAUUACAACCCUCAAGCUCAGCUUGGUAUUGGGCCCCGCCGACCCGGCGGGCCCUAAAGUCAGUGGCGGUGCCGUCCGGCUCCGAGCGUAGUAAUUCUUCUCGCUCUGGAGGUCCGGUCGUGUGCUCGCCAGCAACCCCCAAUUUUUUUCAGGUUGACCUCGGAUCAGGUAGGGAUACCCGCUGAACUUAAGCAUAUCAAUAAGCGGAGGA
rnacentral:misc_RNA from 1 species